UUCCGGUUGAUCCUGCCGGAGGCCAUUGCUAUCGGAGUUCGAUUUAGCCAUGCUAGUCGCACGGGUUUAGACCCGUGGCGAAAAGCUCAGUAACACGUGGCCAAACUACCCUACGGAUCGAAAUAACCUCGGGAAACUGAGGCUAAUUUCGUAUACCGCUCCUGCACUGGGAUGUGCGGAGCUCGAAACGCUUCGGCGCCAUAGGAUGUGGCUGCGGCCGAUUAGGUUGACGGUGGGGUAACGGCCCACCGUGCCCAUAAUCGGUACGGGUUGUGAGAGCAAGAGCCCGGAGACGGUAUCUGAGACAAGAUACCGGGCCCUACGGGGCGCAGCAGGCGCGAAACCUUUACACUGCACGACAGUGCGAUAAGGGAACUCCGAGUGCGAGGGCAUAGAGCCCUCGCUUUUGUACACCGUAAGGUGGUGUACGAAUAAGGGCUGGGCAAGACCGGUGCCAGCCGCCGCGGUAAUACCGGCAGCCCAAGUGAUGGCCGAUAUUAUUGGGCCUAAAGCGUCCGUAGCUGGCCGGACAAGUCCGUUGGGAAAUCCGCGCGCUUAACGCGCGGGCGUCCAGCGGAAACUGUCCGGCUUGGGGCCGGAAGACCUGAGGGGUACGUCCGGGGUAGGAGUGAAAUCCUGUAAUCUCGGACGGACCGCCUGUGGCGAAAGCGCCUCAGGAAGACGGACCCGACAGUGAGGGACGAAAGCCAGGGUCUCGAACCGGAUUAGAUACCCGGGUAGUCCUGGCUGUAAACGAUGUCCGCUAGGUGUGACGCAGGCUACGAGCCUGCGCUGUGCCGUAGGGAAGCCGUGAAGCGGACCGCCUGGGAAGUACGUCUGCAAGGAUGAAACUUAAAGGAAUUGGCGGGGGAGCACUACAACCGGAGGAGCCUGCGGUUUAAUUGGACUCAACGCCGGG
rnacentral:rRNA from 1 species